AGCAUUUGAAUGCAGCAUAGCUAUUCAUAUCAUCACUGUGAGAAUACAUGAUUUGAAGAUUUAGUUGCUAAAUGUCUGGUCUACCUGGAUUUGGUAUGUGAACUCCUUGGGGAGAUCUGGUGAAUGCCAAGAAUAAUGCAAGAUGCUCCAAUGGACAAGAAAACUAGAUGUUAGAUCACAAGCAGAAUGUGCAUGUCUUGGAUCACCUGAACCAGCUAAGGAGGGAGACUGAACUGAGAGAAAAGGACCAUCUUGCAGCACUAGGGUCCUCAGGAUCCAACCUGUCCACCUUUGUCUACCCCUACACCUCACCCAGCUAGCAAUCCAGAAUGAUUAUACGACCAGUUAUAACAUGAUGCAGAUAUUUGUUAAAACAAAAACUGAAUUCAGUCAUAAAGAAGAAUAAUACUAUGGCAUGUGCAGAUAAAUGGAUGGC